rnacentral:rRNA from 1 species
AUUGAACGCUGGCGGCAGGCCUAACACAUGCAAGUCGAACGGUAACAGGAAGAAGCUUGCUUCUUUGCUGACGAGUGGCGGACGGGUGAGUAAUGUCUGGGAAACUGCCUGAUGGAGGGGGAUAACUACUGGAAACGGUAGCUAAUACCGCAUAACGUCGCAAGACCAAAGAGGGGGACCUUCGGGCCUCUUGCCAUCGGAUGUGCCCAGAUGGGAUUAGCUAGUAGGUGGGGUAACGGCUCACCUAGGCGACGAUCCCUAGCUGGUCAGAGAGGAUGACCAGCCACACUGGAACUGAGACACGGUCCAGACUCCUACGGGAGGCAGCAGUGGGGAAUAUUGCACAAUGGGCGCAAGCCUGAUGCAGCCAUGCCGCGUGUAUGAAGAAGGCCUUCGGGUUGUAAAGUACUUUCAGCGGGGAGGAAGGGAGUAAAGUUAAUACCUUUACUCAUUGACGUUACCCGCAGAAGAAGCACCGGCUAACUCCGUG